AUAUUUACCUGGCAGGGGAGAUACCAGGGUCAUGAAGGUGGUUUUCCCAGGGUGAGCCUCGCCCAUGGCGCUCUGGUGUGCCGACCCCCGCGAUUUCCCCAAUGUGGAACCUCGACUGAAUAAUCUGUGGUAGUGGGGGGCUGUGUUUGCAUUCUCCCCUG